UUCGUUAGCUUAUAGUCACGGCUC
rnacentral:siRNA from 1 species